AACUCGACUGCAUGAAGUCGGAAUCGCUAGUAAUCGCGGAUCAGCAUGCCGCGGUGAAUACGUUCCCGGGCCUUGUACACACCGCCCGUCACACCAUGAGAGUCGGGAACACCCGAAGUCCGUAGCCUAACCGCAAGGAGGGCGCGGCCGAAGGUGGGUUCGAUAAUUGGGGUGAAGUCGUAACAAGGUAGC
rnacentral:rRNA from 1 species